rnacentral:rRNA from 1 species
ACUCCUACGGGAGGCAGCAGUGGGGAAUAUUGGACAAUGGGGGAAACCCUGAUCCAGCCAUGCCGCGUGUGUGAAGAAGGCCUUCGGGUUGUAAAGCACUUCAGUGGGGAGGAAGGUUGAUGGUUAAUACCUAUCAGCUGUGACGUUACCCACAGAAGAAGCACCGGCUAACUCCGUGCCAGCAGCCGCGGUAAUACGGAGGGUGCAAGCGUUAAUCGGAAUUACUGGGCGUAAAGCGUGCGCAGGCGGUCUGUUAAGCGAGAUGUGAAAGCCCCGGGCUCAACCUGGGAACUGCAUUUCGAACUGGCAGACUAGAGUCUUGUAGAGGGGGUAGAAUUCCAGGUGUAGCGGUGAAAUGCGUAGAGAUCUGGAGGAAUACCGGUGGCGAAGGCGGCCCCCGUGGACAAAGACUGACGCUCAGGCACGAAAGCGUGGGAGCAAACAGGAUUAGAUACCCGUGGUAGCGACUGA